rnacentral:lncRNA from 1 species
AACUAAUACUUACUCAUGAUACUCAGAGUAAAGAUAUAUCAGGUCAUGUAUAUAUUAUAGUAUACAUGAGACUCCCACUAGCUGAAGCAUAAGGGAUCUAACUCAUAUACUGCAUCUCCACAGAUGUGUCCCACAUAACUUCUCAGAGAGAUUAAUCCCAUGCCCAAGGGGUAGAAAACCCUUUUUAGGAUUUUUCAUGCAAAACUCCUUCAGCAUCUCCUCUAUUUA